UACGGAGGGGGCGAGCGUUGUCCGAAGUUACUGGGCGUAAAGCGUGCGCAGGCGGUUCGUUGUGUCGGCGGUGAAAGCCCCGGGCUUAACCUGGGAAUGGCCGUUGAAACUGGCGAACUGGAGUGUGGCAGAGGGGGGUGGAAUUCCGCGUGUAGCAGUGAAAUGCGUAGAGAUGCGGAGGAACACCGAUGGCGAAGGCAGCCCCCUGGGCUAACACUGACGCUCAGGCACGAAAGCGUGGGGAGCAAACAGG
rnacentral:rRNA from 1 species